rnacentral:rRNA from 1 species
GAUCCCUUCCCGAACUCAGAAGUGAAACCUCUUAGCGCUGAUGGUAGUGUGGGAUUACCCAUGUGAGAGUAAGUCAUCGCCAGCUC